rnacentral:lncRNA from 10 species
UUCUUGGCACUCUCAUAACCAGGUUUCAUCCCACCUUCCUCAGAAACACAAGCACUACCAGCUCUUUCCCUACUUCAUUCGUUAUGAUUUGUAUGUUCUCCUUCUUCCAAAUCUAUGUGGAAUCUGACUUGAACUCAUUUUGCACUCUUUGUUGACAUAAACUGUUUUUAAUUUUAUAUUGUUGCUGUUGUCUAACCUAGAGUUAAAGAAUAUCCACUUCAGUUUGAAGAAGAUACUCUAGGCCAUUUGACAUGUCUCUGGCUCAGUUUGCAGAUAAUAAAAGAAUUACUGUCUCCUCUGCUCCUUCAGGUUCACCCACAAUUUAUCAGACGAAAAAGCUUUCAUACAGCCCUAUGUUUCAUAUUCAUUCAGCCAGCCAGUUCCUCCAAUUUCCUCUCUAAAAGAACAUGCAAGCUGUUUAUAAAAUGCCUCUAUUUAGAAGUUCUCCUUAGGAGGCAAAAGGAAACCUCAAGCUUCUAUUGAGUGUUGGCAUUCUGCAUCUUUGCUUUCAGACAACGUUUGUAAGUAGUGAUGAGAAUAAAUAAUAUAUUACUGUUUGAAAGGAGAAAGAGAAGGAGCAAAAUGAUGCUACUACCCACAAAAGGGAUCAGGGUCCUCAUCAUGGACCUCUGCUGAAGAAUAGUGCUGUUCAAAGGCAAUCAGCCCUCUUUACUACUGACUCAUUGGCUGGAAGCCAAGACUGCCAGGGUCCAGUUUAACUAACGAGAGGGAUUGUUUUGAAGGUGAGAUGGAGGUCACAAAUCAGGGCAGCCCUUA